UACGAAGGGGGCUAGCGUUGUUCGGAAUUACUGGGCGUAAAGCGCGCGCAGGCGGUCUUCCGAGUCAGUGGUGAAAGCCCGGAGCUCAACUCCGGAACUGCCAUUGAAACUGUUGGACUUGAGUACGAGAGAGGUGAGUGGAAUUCCCAGUGUAGAGGUGAAAUUCGUAGAUAUUGGGAAGAACACCGGUGGCGAAGGCGGCUCACUGGCUCGUAACUGACGCUCAGGCGCGACAGCGUGGGGAUCAAACAGG
rnacentral:rRNA from 1 species